GUAAGGGGCAAGCGUUAUCCGGAUUUACUGGGUGUAAAGGGUGAGUAGGCGGUUCGGCAAGUCAUAUGUGAAAUACCUGGGCUCAACCCAGGAACCGCAUAAGAAACUGUCGGACUUGAGUACAGGAGAGGUAAGCGGAAUUCCCAGUGUAGCGGUGAAAUGCGUAGAUAUUGGGAAGAACACCGGUGGCGAAGGCGGCUUACUGGACUGAAACUGACGCUGAGUCACGAAAGCGUGGGGAGCGAA
rnacentral:rRNA from 1 species